rnacentral:rRNA from 1 species
CGCCUGUUUAACAAAAACAUGUCCUCAUGUUUUUAUUUGAGGUUUGGCCUGCCCGGUGAUUUUAAUUUAACGGCCGCGGUAUAUUGACCGUGCAAAGGUAGCAUAAUCAUUAGUCUUUUAAUAGGAGGCUGGAAUGAAAGGUUUAACGAAAAAUUAGCUGUCUCAAUUAUAAAUUUGAAUUUAACUUUUAAGUUAAAAGGCUUAAAUUUUUUUGUAGGACGAGAAGACCCUAUAGAGCUUUACAUUUAAUAUUUUGUUAUAUUGAUUUAGAUUAAUAUUUUUAAUUAACUUUAAAAAAUGUUUUGUUGGGGUGACAAGAAAUAUAUAUUUAACUUUUAUUAUUAUAUUUUCAUUAAUUUAUGAUUAUUGGAUCCAAAAUUUUUGAUCAUUAGAAUAAGUUACCUUAGGGAUAACAGCG